AUGAACAAUGGCCACCUGAAUAACCACCCGAGGCGACGGAGCAAGAAACACAGCGGGAAACGCACUGGGAUUCGCAACAGACUAAGAAAAAGAGCACGCAGCCCUCCUCUACCGAGCAUUCUGCUCGCCAAUGUCCAGUCACUGGAGAAUAAGAUGGACGAUCUUACAUCCAGGAUAAGUUUCCAAUGGGACAUUAGGGACUGUAACAUCCUCUGUUUAUCUGAAACAUGGCUCACGACCUCGGUCCUGGACACUGCUGUAACGCCGUCUGAUAACAGAACAGCUGACGCCGGUAAAUCCAAAGGUGGUGGAGUGUGUUUCAUGAUUAACAAGAAAUGUUGUGACCCCAGGAAUAUCUCCACUCUGUCGUGCUCCUGCUCGCCUCAUCUGGAACAUCUAUCCAUUAUUUGCCACCCAUUCUAUCUGCCCCGGGAGUUUUCAUCGAUCAUCGUUACUGCUGUUUACAUCCCACCACAAGCUGACACCGGCUUGGCUUUGUCUCCAGUGCAGAGGGUGGUGACGCGCUGGUCCGCCCACUCAGAAGCUAUGCUUAAGGCGGCUCUUGAUGACGUAGACUGGGACAUGUUUUGGGCAAGUUCAUCUGACGUCAGCGAGUUCACGGAUGUAGCAUUAAGCUUUGUAAACACGCUAGCCGAGCAAGCAACUGAAACAAUAUAUAUAUGGACCUACUCAAAUCAGAAACCAUGGGUGGACAGAACAAUUUGUGCUGUGGUAAACAAACACACUGCUGCUUACAAUGCCGGUCUUUUGUCGGGGAACAUGAACGAGUACAAAACAUUGUGCUAUGCUCUCCGAUGCGCAGUAAGAGCCCCCAAACUCCGAUACAGGGAACGAAUAGAGUCUCAUUUUCAGCUCAAUGACUCCCGACGCAUGUGUCAUGGACUAAGGACCAUCUGUGCCUUUAGAAACAAAUCCUCUGCAGAGGUGAGAGCUGAUCCGUCACUGGCAGACGAUUUAAACUCCUUCUACGGCCGCUUUGAAAACAAUCUAAGCAGCACGAGUCUGCUGAUCAGCACGUCAGGAAGCAGCAGUCAGAGCAGCGAUAAUCAUGUAAUCACCGUGUCGGAGGACGAGGUUCGGAGGGCUCUAAAGCAAGUGACCGUCAGGAAAGCAGCCGAACCUGAUGGGAUUUCUGGCCAUGUUCUGAGGUCCUGUGCUGAUCAACUCGCUGGUUUGUUUACAUCCAUCUUUAAUGAGUCUCUUGCUACCUCGGUGGUUCCCACCUCCUUCAAAAAAUCUGUCAUCAUCCCUGUGCCUAAGAACAAUAACCCCUCUUACCUGAAUGACUAUCGUCCGGUUGCCCUCACGUCAACAGUCAUGAAGGUCUUUGAGAAACUUAUAAAGAACAUCAUUUGCUCCUCCAUCCCUGAUAUUUCGUCACACUUUAAUUACUCACCCUUGUGUCAUCCCAAACCAAAGAUCUUCCUUCAUCUUCAGAACACAAAUUAA
ensembl:lncRNA